rnacentral:rRNA from 1 species
AUUGAACGCUGGCGGCAGGCCUAACACAUGCAAGUCGAGCGGAUGAAGGGAGCUUGCUCCUGGAUUCAGCGGCGGACGGGUGAGUAAUGCCUAGGAAUCUGCCUGGUAGUGGGGGAUAACGUCCGGAAACGGGCGCUAAUACCGCAUACGUCCUGAGGGAGAAAGUGGGGGAUCUUCGGACCUCACGCUAUCAGAUGAGCCUAGGUCGGAUUAACUAGUUGGUGGGGUAAAGGCCUACCAAGGCGACGAUCCGUAACUGGUCUGAGAGGAUGAUCAGUCACACUGGAACUGAGACACGGCCCAGACUCCUACGGGAGGCAGCAGUGGGGAAUAUUGGACAAUGGGCGAAAGCCUGAUCCAGCCAUGCCGCGUGUGUGAAGAAGGUCUUCGGAUUGUAAAGCACUUUAAGUUGGGAGGAAGGGCAGUAAGUUAAUACCUUGCUGUUUUGACGUUACCAACAGAAUAAGCACCGGCUAACUUCGUG